GCCGGGCGCGGUGGCUCACGCCUGUAAUCCUAGCACUCUGGGAGGCCGAGGCGGGCGGAUCGUUUGAGCUCAGGAGUUCGAGACCAGCCUGAGCAAGAGCGAGACCCCGUCUCUACUAAAAAUAGAAAGAAAUUAUCUGGCCAACUAAAAUAUAUAUAGAAAAAAUUAGCCGGGCAUGGUGGCACAUGCCUGUAGUCCCAGCUACUCGGGAGGCUGAGACAGCAGGAUCGCUUGAGCUCAGGAGUUCGAGACCAGCCUGAGCAAGAGCGAGACCCCGUCUCU
rnacentral:sRNA from 1 species